rnacentral:rRNA from 1 species
UACGUAGGUGGCCAGCGUUGUCCGGAAUUACUGGGCGUAAAGGGCGAGUAGGCGGUUAUACAAGUCAGAUGUGAAAUGCGUGGGCUCGACCCACGGACUGCAUUUGAAACUGUAUGACUUGAGUGCGGUAGAGGAAAGUGGAAUUCCCAGUGUAGCGGUGAAAUGCGUAGAUAUUGGGAGGAACACCAGUGGCGAAGGCGACUUUCUGGGCCGUAACUGACGCUGAGGCGCGAAAGCGUGGGGAG